UUUAACUGCAACCAUAAGUUUCCGCGCCUAACUUUGAUCGUCUAUCUUAUUUAUUUAUUUUUAUAAUUAUGAGUUGAUAAAACAUGAAUAAUACUUUAUACGUAACUUAUGUUUUUAAUUUUUUUCAAAUAAGACAGGCAAUUAAAGUUGUGCACGGAAAAUUAUGGCUAUAAUUAAA
rfam:Oryza sativa Japonica Group DNA, chromosome 8, cultivar: Nipponbare, complete sequence.